CUAGAAAUGGCUUUGCUGCCGAAUGCAUUAUCUUGCCAUUUUCGUGUCCCAAUACUGAACAAACGAUCGCCUGAUCGAUCGGCUGUUGUUCAGCUCUAAUGAUGUCCUAGAGCAGAAGUGUUUCUUCUGUUGUCUCAUUUUACCAAGAGGAUGAUGUCUGUGUAUGUCUCUGUGUUUUAGAGAGGCUGGCAAAUGCUGCUAAGAGGAUCUGAGGUUCACAUAAAGAGGAUGAAAAUUCUGAAUUACUUUCACUGCAAAUAAACCUUAACAAUUGUGAGAGUUAGAGAGCAUACUUUUCACAUAAGACUUUGGUAUGCUGCCUAAAGCUACUUACAUAAUUUGCUAUUCAGAGAAAUGCAUUUGUUUAUUGAGGACCCACCCGGACUUAAAUUAGAAAAAUGUAACAUUCAGAUUUUUAUUUUAUAUGUGAAAUAAAUGUGUGAUUGCUGUUCUUAAAAAUUUGAAAAAAAACA
rnacentral:lncRNA from 1 species